GAUGAACGCUGGCGGCGUGCCUAAUACAUGCAAGUCGAGCGAACAGACGAGGAGCUUGCUCCUCUGACGUUAGCGGCGGACGGGUGAGUAACACGUGGAUAACCUACCUAUAAUACUUGGAUAACUUCGGGAAACCGGAGCUAAUACCGGAUAAUAUAUUGAACCGCAUGGUUCAAUAGUGAAAGACGGUUUUGCUGUCACUUAUAGAUGGAUCCGCGCCGCAUUAGCUAGUUGGUAAGGUAACGGCUUACCAAGGCAACGAUGCGUAGCCGACCUGAGAGGGUGAUCGGCCACACUGGAACUGAGACACGGUCCAGACUCCUACGGGAGGCAGCAGUAGGGAAUCUUCCGCAAUGGGCGAAAGCUUGACGGAGCAACGCCGCGUGAGUGAUGAAGGUCUUCGGAUCGUAAAACUCUGUUAUUAGGGAAGAACAAAUGUGUAAGUAACUAUGCACGUCUUGACGGUACCUAAUCAGAAAGCCACGGCUAACUACGUG
rnacentral:rRNA from 1 species